UACGGGGGGGGCAAGCGUUGUUCGGAAUCACUGGGCUUAAAGGGCGCGUAGGCGGACUAUCAAGUCUGGGGUGAAAUCCCGCGGCUCAACCGUGGAACUGCCUCAGAUACUGACGGUCUCGAGGGAGGUAGGGGCAUGCGGAACUGUAGGUGGAGCGGUGAAAUGCGUUGAUAUCUACAGGAACUCCGGUGGCGAAAGCGGCGUGCUGGACCUCUUCUGACGCUGAGGCGCGAAAGCUAGGGGAGCAAACGGG
rnacentral:rRNA from 1 species